GAUGAAGAACGUAGCGAAAUGCGAUAAGUAAUGUGAAUUGCAGAAUUCCGUGAAUCAUCGAAUCUUUGAACGCACAUUGCGCCCCCUGGUAUUCCGGGGGGCAUGCCUGUCCGAGCGUCAUUGCAACCCUCAAGCGCGGCUUGUGUGUUGGGCUUCGUCCCCCCGUGGACGUGCCCGAAAGGCAGUGGCGGCGUCCCGAAUGGUGCCCGAGCGUAUGGGAACUCUCUUCCGCUCGAACCGGCCCAUUCGGCGCUGGUCGAACCCCAAUUUUUUUUUACCGGUUGACCUCGGAUCAGGUAGGGAUACCCGCUGAACUUAAGCAUAUCAUAAGCGGAGGA
rnacentral:misc_RNA from 1 species